UUCAGUCGAAAGUGUGACAGUUCGAAGCCUGGGUCAAGGUGAGCUCCUGAUCUUUAGCCCAGCUUUUGCCUACCUAGCAAUUUGAAAGCAAACAUGUGAGUAGAUAAAUAGGAACUGCUUUAAAAAGUAGAGAGGUAUUAAGGCACCUAUAAGGAAAUGCCAGGAAAAAUGACAGCAAUCAAAAAAGGAGGAAGUUAUGAAAAAGGCUUUUCGGUAGGGAGAUGAAGCGGCUGGAAACGAGCACAAACCUCCAAGAAGUCGAAGUUGAGAAAAAGCCUAUAUACCUCUUUCUAUGUUUAAAUUGUCUGUCUUAUCUGUCUAUAAAUGAGUCCUCUUUGGAGUGAGAAGGGCGGGAUAUAAAUACUGUAUAUAAGUAAAUAAAUAAAAUAAAUAUUGGAUAGAAUUGGGUUUUGUGACCUUGGGCAUUUCAGUGACCCACACAGCAACAGAUUAUGAAUCACAAGUAUAAAACAAAGAAAAGUCAGUCUUUUACAAGAUAUAAGGCUGGAGGAAACACAGCUAUGUCAAUGCUGCACUAUUUUGAAAGUCCCAAACUGUAUUUCAAGUGUCAUAACUCCCUGCCUCCUUCAGCAAUCCUGCUAUUUUCCAAGUUUCUUGACUGGAUAAAACUUUGUGAUUUGUUCCCUUUUCAUACAUAUUUUCCCUGAAAUAAACUACAAUGAAAGGGAAAGGGAAAUGAAUCACUCUGUCGCUAAAAAUUGAUUCAUUUUAGCAGAAAUCACUGCAGCUUUAGUAAUAAAACUUGACAAAUUUCUUAAUUACCCUAAUGUCUACUCUUUCUGUUACUUUCAGAACAAUGACCUGCAGUAAGUGAUCAAAGUGGAAUCCUUCAAAUGUUGUUAGAUGUCAACUUCCGGUAUUGUCUAUUUUGACUAUUGCUGAUGAGAGCUGCAAUCCAGGAAUUUCUGAAGGACCUCCUUUUGACACCUGCUGAACAAGAGUUAAGUGUGUUCCUCCCUGAAAACUCAUAUCAAACAAAAUGUUCCCCAUGUGGAAAACAUGCCAAGCUUGAUUUCACUGAGAAAAAAGAGUUACUUUUAAAACGGUCUCCCACAGAAUACUUGGAGAAUGAUGGCACCAUAUGGUAAGCUGUAGGCAUGUCCAAUCAAUGAAAAAAAUGUUUCAAUUCUCGUUUCUAAAGUAGGGGGUGCUGGCGCUUCGAUAUAGAAAGUAUUUCCGAUUUUUUCACCCAAAAAUUUCGGAUAUUUCCGAAAAUUCGUAAUGAUUCUAAAUGUUUCUAAAAUGGCAGCCGCGCAUGCGCAAUCGCUACACACCGGGCUUGUAUGGCAAUCUUCCAUGUGGACACAGAGGACGUUAGCCCCCACCUUUGCAUCCAUCGUGGAAGCUUCUGAUUGGCCGGGGAGCGGCAGCCAUGUUAGGCUGCGCUAAGCUCCCAUUCAAGGUAGGUUGCAAUUAACGAAACAUUAAGAGACAAUUAGAGGAUGGGCCAACAAUGGUUCAAAUUACAUUGCUGGUUGAGCUGUGAGACAAUGUCUCGGAAUGCGUAUCAAAAAGCGAGAACAAUCCGAAAUAAUUCCGAUAUAUGAUUCAAAAUGAUUUUUUGGACAUGUCUAGUAAGCUGCCACUGAAGGCACUAUUACCCUGAUACAGUUCUGCUUCAUCUACCCCAUGCAAUAUAACUCUUAUCUUCCAAAUAAAGUUUCUGCAAAAUGCUAUUAGUGAUUACUCUUUCAAUUAAAAAAAACCAAUUCAAAAGUAUAUAAUAUGAUAACCCCUACACACAUUUAUAUGCAUUUUGGCAGACAUGAUCCUUUCCUAAACUGCUACUAUGUAUGGGCAUAUUACCUAUUUCUGAGAAUUAAAACAAAGAGUAUAAUUAUAUGGUGUUGUCUAUUGUUGUCACAUAGUUUAUUAUGACCUUUUGGGAUGAGUGGAGGAUAUACGAUCCACUUCACCACAGAAUUAAUAGAAAAUAAGGCUGAACUGGAAAGUUUUCAUGGGAAGAUUUUUCUUGGAUGUUGAAGUUGCGAACAGUGUUAUUUCUGAGCAGCUCAUUCUCCCCCCUCCCUCAAAUCAUCCCUUGGUUCUGAAAAUAAAGGAGGUGUUUCUGACAAAUUUUACCUGUCAGAAUACUGUCAGGUCAGUACCCUCCUUUAAAAGAGUGGUUUCCACUUGCUGUUAGGUUAAUAGUUAUCAAGUGCUUUGGUGUCAGCAGCAUGGGUCAAUUUGACCUGCAUUGCAGCUCUUUGUGUAAGCACACCUUCCAUCAGACUCAUCGUAGAUCUGUAAUUUUGUUAUGAAAGAUGGUAAUUUCAGGAAUAAUUACUUUAGGCAAAAAUCGGUGCUAGCUAAUGUAUGGAGAGUCUGUUGUUGUCUUAUUAACAGGCCAGCCCCUUUCUCUGGCUUGUUGCUUCAUGCUGCUUUCUGAACUCAGGCAGGUGAAACCAAAGGUGGGAGGGAGAGGGGGAGAGAAGAUUAGAAAUGAUAAAUGGGGUAGAAACUGCUUAAGGUCUCUGCAAAGUUUAAUGAAAGAUUUAUCUCUGGAGGCUAAUGUUCCUCUUGCUUUUACUGAAGCAAGAGUUUGAUAACCUCUCAUUGCACAUUUGAUAAAUUGCACCUUUAAGUCAUAACCAAAAAUGACUAAGUGCAUCUUCAAAACAAAAACAAAAAAAGGCUAAAGAAAGCUAUCACUGUUUCGGAAACAUGAGAAUGUAAUUAGAGAAAGAUUCAUUUGCUUCAGUAUUGGACUUCCAAGAACGGACACUUGUGAUUAAAUACAGUGGACUCUUAUCUGCAGAGGAUUUCUUCCAGGACCCCUGAUGAUUCCUAAAUCUGUACAUGCUGAAAUUGCAUUAUACACAGUGGUGAAGUAAAAUUGUGUCCCUUAUAUAAAAAGGCAAAAUUAAGGUUUCUGGGGGAAGUUUGGGGAUUUUUAAAAAAUAUUUUCAAACUGUGAAUGGUUGAAUCCUUGAACAAAAAAUCCAUGAAUAAGGGUGAGCAUUACAUCCAGCUAUUUGUCUCCAAUGCAUAUAAUCCACCUUUCUGUCUGAUCAUAGGGAACUGCACUAAAGAAAGGCAAAAAGUAAUGCAAAUGAAAAAUACAAACGCUAAUUUCAUAAUUAUAAUAUAAGGAGUCAUACAAUAUAAACUGUAGUGAAUGUAUUCAAAAGAUGAACACUGUAAUAAAUGAAUAAAUAAAUAAACAUCUCUAAGCAAAUAUUACACUAUGCAACACAAUUUUUGUUCCUGGGAUAUAAAUGUCAUUUCCCAAUUGGUUAUUUCAUAAAAAAUGGCAAAAGUUUAAUUAAACUACAAAAAUGUGCACAUUUUCAUUAAGGAAAAUAGCAAAAUUUUGAAUUUCAAGUAAUAGAAGCAGAUGAAACAAAAACAAAGUUUCUGGAGUAUAACUACCACUUUCAGAAUAAGAACCACACAAUUAAACAGGAAAUAACACUUUCAAACUAGGAACAAAACUUUUUUGACAAUUUGCUACAUAAUGUUAUAGAACCUACAUAUUUUAUGUGUGCAUGCAGGGAUAUCAGACUUUGCUAGGUAUAAUAGGAUAUAUUUUGCUAUGCAGGAACACAGUAACAUAGGUCACUGCCUAUUUACAAGACAUCUCUCAUAAGCAGAAUGAAUAUAGAGGUCAAGAACUGGUGACAUUUCUUAAGAAACAAAGGCAAGGUUUUCAAAUGAAAGGGGGGCUAUACAUAAGAACAACUGGUGGAGAUGCCUGGAUUUUUUCUCUGAAAACAGAAUAGUAGCCCCUACAUAGAUAUAUUUGAUGCUAGGUAGAAUGUCACAAGGCUCUUGGUAUCACCAUGGCGCAAUACUGCUGGUAUUAUCUAUUAAUUCACAUCAGAACUUUUCCAUGACAUUCUAGCAUUGCCAGUAGUGAGGAAUGUUGAGAGUUUCAGUUCAACAUCUGGAGAGAUGAAUGACUGCCAUCCCUAUACUGUAGCAUACUAUAUAGCUGGAGAAUAAAAUAUACACCCAAUCAUAUUGUUGCUGCUAACAAUAAACCACCAGUUAGACUGUUUUGGAAGAAUGUGUGGGGGUAUGAAAAAAAAGAGAGAAGGGAGAAAUAUUCGUGAGAUGUAGGAUAAUCUAUAGAUACACUAGAUAAAACAAACUCCUUUGUAUGUAAUAUAUGUAAAGAUAUGGGGGGGGGGACUGUUUUUAUUUUGAAAAUGGAAGUCUGAAGGAAAAGAUGGACCUCUUCACAUGGGACAUUUUUGCCCUGUUUUGCUGCUUUUAUUCAUGGCAAGGACGGGGCUUGCGGUGCGCCAUCCACUACGGAGCAAAGCAAAGUUUGGGUAGCGAUGACAGAGUUACCUGCACUUUCCUCCCUUUUUGUCGUGUCAUGGAGCAUUGAUGCUCGUUGUGCCAUCUGAUGGGGAGGGAAAGGGUGACAAAGCACCCUCUCCUGUCCCCUCCGUGUGAUGAGAAGCAGAGGGAGGGUGCAUGGGGUCCCACAAGCUUCCCUUUAGUUGGCAAUUGUUGACACAAUAGCACUGUCCAAAAGGGAAGUAUGAAGAGAUCUCAUUACUCAUUGUUUUGUUUUCAAGAAGCUUUAAAAACAAGCAAGCCCAUAAAACAAUGGUCAAACUAUUGCUGUAUACUAACCCUUCUUUCUAGUUUGCUGUUCUUGUGGCUUCUAUGCUUUUCCAAUUUCUGCUACCUUUUGUGUAGGCCAAAUGUGAAAUCUAUUGUGCAUAGUUUAUUUGCCAAACUAUGAUUUGUGGCACUGCUCUAUUUAAUUUCUUGUGCUGUUUUACAUCUACUUGAAACCACUAGAAAAAGUAAUCUGUGGAUUGGAAUCAAGAAGUCAUCAUCUCUUCAUCUUUUCCAUCUUAUUUCAAAGAGGUCACGGUAAUGCUGGAUCAGUGUCUGAAACCAGUGGAGUUGAUAAGAUCAAGUAAAUAGAAGUUCAUUUAUGAUAAGAUGGAAAUACUGUUUUUGGCUGGUUCAUCCAGGCAGAAAAGUUUGCUCUGUUCUAGAAAAAUGCACCCUUCCUCUGAUAGAUAUUUGCAUUUUGGGAAUUGGCUUGUUUGUUUGAUGCCCCAAUGUUUUCUCUACAUGGGACAUAAGGCAGCUUAUAGAGUAUAGCUGAAACCUAUUAAUAACAACCCAGGCCAGUCUCUCAUCCCCCCCCCUAAUGUUUAAAACAAGUGUACAUCAUUUUAAAAUGUUAAUAAGAGAGCCAGCAGUGGUUUGAGUGUUGAGCUCCGACUCUGCAGACUGGGGUUCAAAUCCCUGCUUGGCCACACAUGAACUUAGGCAAGACCUUUCCUCUCAGGGUGUUUCAAGACAGCACCAAAUUGCUGGUUUUAGUGAGGGGCAAAAAAUCCCGGGACUUCAGAAGAAGUCCACAUACAGAUCUGUUGGUCCCAAAAUUUCUGCCUCUGUCAUCCACACUUUAUGUGGAAAUGCUGAUAUGCAAAUUGCUGCAAAAGUUCCAUUCUUUGUACUGGCCAGAGAAACGUUGUCCUCAAAAUGUUUAAUUAAGUUUCUGGCACACAAAUAAAGUUUGUGGGGUAUGAACACUUCUGUCCCAGUCAGCACUACACAGUCAAACAAAAACACGCACUUUCAAGCUAGGAACAGAACUUUGUCAUUAUUACUAUCAUUAUGUGACCUUGCUGCCUGGCCAUCUGUGCAGACAGAUUUAGUUGUGUACUUGUGGCAUGUAACAACAGGUUUCUGUUCCAGGGUUAUACAUGCCUGUUCCUGAUUGCUCUUAUUGUGUAAAAAUGUACAAUGUUGACUAGGAGGCUACAACUUUGUCUUGGCCAGAGAAACUGUGCCCUCUACAUUUUUAAUGAAGUUUCUGCAACACAAAUAAAGAUAAUGGGGUAGGACCACUUCUGUCCAAGUUAGCACUACACAGUCAAACAGGAACAAACACUUUCAAACCAGAAACAGAACUUUGAUAUUAUUGUCACUUUUUAGAGCCUGCUUGGCCAUCUGUGCAGGCAGGUUUCAUGGUUUACUUGUGGUGUGGGACAGUAGGAUGAUGUUCCUGGGUUAAAAGUGUCUGUUACUGUUUCAUUGUAUACUACUUACUGUGAAAGUAUUUGUUUCAUCCCAGGAACUUCAUUCUUCUGCCGCAAACUUUAUUAAACCGGUGAAGGACAAAGUUCCUCUUACCAGAACAAAGUUUUUGCCAUCUUCUCAAUGUGUUGUUGAAGGCUUUCAUGGCUGUGUGUUUUCUGGGCUGUAUAGCCAUGUUCCAGAAGUAUUCUGGAACAUGACCACACAGCCCGGAAAACACACAACAAACCUUCUACUCAACUGUCACCUUUUUAGGAACCGACCAAUCAGGAACAAACAUCUAAAACCUGGGAACAAACCCAGGUAAAAAAUAUUGUGUUUUCUGAUUGCAGGGACAUCCUCCUGCGUUUUGAGGGAAUGGUGUCUGGCCACUCUCCAUUUUGCUGUGGAAGCUCCUGGGAUAAAGAAUCUUGAGGAUCAAUGAAAAAACAAGUACAUCUGGGACAGAAGCUGAAGAAAUAUCAUGGCUUAAAGAAGGAAUGAAUAUUAGUUCGACAAUAAUUUAUGAAGAAUUUCUGUUCAAAGUUUUUUCCCCUCACCUCUGAAAAUAAAUCCAAGCUUUAUAAUUAAAAAUCUUAUAGGCAAAAGAAAUUGUACUAAUGCCAUUGUGGGAAAAUUUUUAAUAGAGGAUGAUUUAAUUUUAGGCAAAUAAGAAGAUAGGCUAGAGUUAAAAUUGCUGGAAGAAACAUUAACAACCUUAGAUAUGCAGAUGAUACUACUUUGAUGGCUGAAAGUGAGGAGGAGCUGAGGAGCCUUAUAACCAAGCUGAAAGAAGAAAGUGCAAACCAAGAUUGUGGCAAUGAGACUGAUUGAUAAUUGGCAAAUAGAGGGAGAAAACCUCUGGAGGGAAGGAUAUUAGAGGCAAAGAUGAAGUACUUUGGCCACAUCAUGAGAAGACAGGAAAGCUUGGAGAAGACAAUGAUGCUGGGAAAAAUGGAAGGAAAAAGGAAGAGAGGCCGACCAAGGGCAAGAUAAAUGAAUCAUAUCCUUGAAAUGACUGGCUUGACCUUGAAGGAGCUGGGGGUGGCAACGGCUGACAGGGAGCUCUGGCGUGGGCUGGUCCAUGAGGUCAUAAAGACUUGGAAGCGACUAAACAACAAAAAGUAGAUAGAAUUGGGUUGCACUUUAAUAUUUUUAAUAUAUACAUGCCAGCUCUAAUAUGCUUAGAAUGCCACUGACACCAAAUAGUGCUUGGUUCCAUUAUAUAUGAAUCUCUGAAGCUUCUCGCUUUGAGACUUUUAACAAGAACUGUCAUAUCAGAUAUUUUACAUCAUUUUUACGGAUUGAUUAAAUAUUACUUUCUUGUA